ACGAACGCUGGCGGCAUGCCUAACACAUGCAAGUCGAACGAGACCUUCGGGUCUAGUGGCGCACGGGUGCGUAACGCGUGGGAACCUGCCCUUAGGUUCUGAAUAACUCCCCGAAAGGGGUGCUAAUACCGGAUAAUGUCUUCGGACCAAAGAUUUAUCGCCUUUGGAUGGGCCCGCGUUGGAUUAGCUAGUUGGUAGGGUAAAAGCCUACCAAGGCGACGAUCCAUAGCUGGUCUGAGAGGAUGAUCAGCCACACUGGGACUGAGACACGGCCCAGACUCCUACGGGAGGCAGCAGUGGGGAAUAUUGGACAAUGGGCGAAAGCCUGAUCCAGCAAUGCCGCGUGAGUGAUGAAGGCCUUAGGGUUGUAAAGCUCUUUUACCCGGGAUGAUAAUGACAGUACCGGGAGAAUAAGCUCCGGCUAACUCCGUG
rnacentral:rRNA from 1 species